rnacentral:rRNA from 1 species
UUUGAUCCUGGCUCAGGAUGAACGCUGGCGGCGUGCUUAACACAUGCAAGUCGAACGGGGUGCCUUUGAAAGAGGAUUCGUCCAAUUGAGAAGGUUACCUAGUGGCGGACGGGUGAGUAACGCGUGAGUAACCUGCCUUGGAGUGGGGAAUAACACAUCGAAAGAUGUGCUAAUACCGCAUAAUGCAGUUGGGCCGCAUGGCUCUGGCUGCCAAAGAUUUAUCGCUCUGAGAUGGACUCGCGUCUGAUUAGCUGGUUGGCGGGGUAACGGCCCACCAAGGCGACGAUCAGUAGCCGGACUGAGAGGUUGACCGGCCACAUUGGGACUGAGACACGGCCCAGACUCCUACGGGAGGCAGCAGUGGGGAAUAUUGGGCAAUGGGCGCAAGCCUGACCCAGCAACGCCGCGUGAAGGAAGAAGGCUUUCGGGUUGUAAACUUCUUUUAUCAGGGACGAAGCAAGUGACGGUACCUGAUGAAUAAGCCACGGCUAACUACGUG